rnacentral:rRNA from 1 species
AGAGUUUGAUCCUGGCUCAGAACAAACGCUGGCGGCGUGUCUUAAGCAUGCAAGUUGAGCGGCAAGGAGGAGAGAUCCUCCCUAGAGCGGCGGACUGGUGAGUAACGCGUGGGUAAUCUAUCUUAGGCAUGGGGAUAGUCACUAGAAAUAGUGGGUAAUACCGAAUAAGUUCCAUAAGGGGAGGACUUAUGGAAGAAAGGUGCUACGGCACUGGCCUUAGGUGAGCUCGCGUCCCAUUAGCUAGUUGGUGAGGUAAAGGCCCACCAAGGCGAUGAUGGGUAGCCGGCCUGAGAGGGUGUACGGCCACACUGGGACUGAGAUACGGCCCAGACUCCUACGGGAGGCAGCAGCUAAGAAUAUUCCGCAAUGGACGGAAGUCUGACGGAGCGACGCCGCGUGGAUGAAGAAGGCCGAAAGGUUGUAAAGUUCUUUUGCUAGGGGAGAAUAAGUGAGGGAGGGAAUGCCCUCAUGAUGACAAGGACUAGCGAAUAAGCCCCGGCCAACUACGUGCCAGCAGCCGCGGUAACACGUAGGGGGCGAGCGUUGUUCGGAAUUACUGGGCGUAAAGGGCAUGUAGGCGGCUUGGUAAGCCUGGCGUGAAAGUCUGCAGCUUAACUGUAGGGAUGCGUUGGGAACUGCUUAGCUUGAGUUACGGAGAGGGAGCUGGAAUUCCUGGUGUAGGGGUGAAAUCUGUAGAUAUCAGGAAGAACACCGAUGGCGAAGGCAAGCUUCUGGUCGAUAACUGACGCUGAGGUGCGAAAGUGUGGGGAUCAAACAGGAUUAGAUACCCUGGUAGUCCACACUGUAAACGAUGUGCACGAGGUGCUGGGGCGGUAGUUUCAGUGCCGGAGCGAACGCGGUAAGUGCACCGCCUGGGGAGUAUGCUCGCAAGGGUGAAACUCAAAGGAAUUGACGGGGGCCCGCACAAGCGGUGGAGCAUGUGGUUUAAUU